GACGAACGCUGGCGGCGUGCUUAACACAUGCAAGUCGAGCGAAGCGGCGGACGGGUUAGUAACACGUGAGUAACCUGCCUUAGACAUUGGGAUAGCCUCGGGAAACCGGGACUAAUACCAAAUGGUCUAAGGUGGACUCUCGUCCCAUUAGCUAGUUGGUGGGUAACACCCCACCAAGGUGACGAUGGGUAGCCGGCCUUGAAUGGUGAACGGCCAAAUAGUAACUGAGAGACGGUCCAAACUCUACGGGAGGGAGCAGUUGGGAGUAUUGCACAAUGGAGUGAACUCUGAUGCUGCGACGCCUCGGGAACGGAGAAGGCUUUCGAGUCGUAAAGUUCUUUUAUAUGGGAAGGGGUACCAUAAGAAAAAGCCCCGGCUAACUACGUGCCAGCAGCCGCGGUAAUAC
rnacentral:rRNA from 1 species